rfam:Vitis vinifera, whole genome shotgun sequence of line PN40024, unoriented chromosome 18, chr18
AAGUCGUGUGGUGAGCACAAAGUGAACUAUUUUUUUGCCUUUUACUAAAGAAUAUCGUGCGUUCCCCACAUAUUGCCACAUAAUACUUCUAAAGCUUUGAUUGUAUUGCACUUAAAAUGUA